UCUCGAUAGCGUCAAAGUUAACUCAAAUUUGUAUGGAGUUGGAACGUUUUCCUACGUUUGUCGCUAGGGGCGCUGUUCCAACUGCAUACAAAUUUGAAGUUAACUUUUACGUUAUCGA
rnacentral:pre_miRNA from 9 species